GGUCAAGUUAUUAAGGGUGCAGGGCGGAUGCCUUGGCACUAGGAGCCGAUGAAGGACGUGAUAAGCUGCGAUAAGCUUCGGGGAGUUGCACGUAAACUUUGAUCCGAAGAUUUCCGAAUGAGGAAACUCACUUAGAGUAAUGUCUAAGUAUCAUUAAGUGAAUACAUAGCUUAAUGAGGGGAACUCAGGGAACUGAAACAUCUAAGUACCUGAAG
rnacentral:rRNA from 1 species